rnacentral:tRNA from 1 species
GGAAGAGUACUCAAGUGGAUUAAGGGGACUGCCUUGAAAGCAGAUAGGCGAGAAAUCGCGGGUGGGUUCGAAUCCUACCUCUUCCG